CCCUUAGAUGUUCUGGGCUGCACGCGUGCUACACUGAUAUUGCCAAUAUGUCAUUCUUAUCCGAAAUGGAUUGGGUAAUCAAGUAAUGAAAUUUCAUGCUUGGAAACGGUAAUUGCAAUUUUAUCGUGAACGAGGAAUUCCUAGUAAGCACUAGUCAUCAGCUAAUGUUGAUUAUGUCCCUGCCCUUUGUACACACCGCCCGUCGCUACUACUGAUUGGGUGUUCAAGUGAGAUGCUUAGACCCUUGUUGCAUGGUUCAUUAUUGUGCUCCGAAAGGAAAAAGUUUCAAGCUUGAGUGUCUAGAGGAAGUAAAAGUCGUAACA
rnacentral:rRNA from 1 species